rnacentral:rRNA from 1 species
GACGAACGCUGGCGGCGUGCUUAACACAUGCAAGUCGAACGGAAAGGCCCUGCUUUUGUGGGGUGCUCGAGUGGCGAACGGGUGAGUAACACGUGAGUAACCUGCCCUUGACUUUGGGAUAACUUCAGGAAACUGGGGCUAAUACCGGAUAGGAGCUCCUGCUGCAUGGUGGGGGUUGGAAAGUUUCGGCGGUUGGGGAUGGACGCGCGGCUUAUCAGCUUGUUGGUGGGGUAGUGGCUUACCAAGGCUUUGACGGGUAGCCGGCCUGAGAGGGUGACCGGCCACAUUGGGACUGAGAUACGGCCCAGACUCCUACGGGAGGCAGCAGUGGGGAAUAUUGCACGAUGGGCGGAAGCCUGAUGCAGCAACGCCGCGUGCGGGAUGACGGCCUUCGGGUUGUAAACCGCUUUCGCCUGUGACGAAGCGUGAGUGACGGUAAUGGGUAAAGAAGCACCGGCUAACUACGUG